rnacentral:rRNA from 1 species
GACGAACGCUGGCGGCGUGCCUAAUACAUGCAAGUAGAACGCUGAAGAGAGGAGCUUGCUCUUCUUGGAUGAGUUGCGAACGGGUGAGUAACGCGUAGGUAACCUGCCUUGUAGCGGGGGAUAACUAUUGGAAACGAUAGCUAAUACCGCAUAACAAUGGAUGACCCAUGUCAUUUAUUUGAAAGGGGCAAAUGCUCCACUACAAGAUGGACCUGCGUUGUAUUAGCUAGUAGGUGAGGUAACGGCUCACCUAGGCGACGAUACAUAGCCGACCUGAGAGGGUGAUCGGCCACGCUGGGACUGAGACACGGCCCAGACUCCUACGGGAGGCAGCAGUAGGGAAUCUUCGGCAAUGGGAGCAACCCUGACCGAGCAACGCCGCGUGAGUGAAGAAGGUUUUCGGAUCGUAAAGCUCUGUUGUAAGUCAAGAACGAGUGUGAGAGUGGAAAGUUCACACUGUGACGGUAGCUUACCAGAAAGGGACGGCUAACUACGUGCCAGCAGCCGCGGUAAUACGUAGGUCCCGAGCGUUGUCCGGAUUUAUUGGGCGUAAAGCGAGCGCAGGCGGUUUGAUAAGUCUGAAGUUAAAGGCUGUGGCUCAACCAUAGUUCGCUUUGGAAACUGUCAAACUUGAGUGCAGAAGGGGAGAGUGGAAUUCCAUGUGUAGCGGUGAAAUGCGUAGAUAUAUGGAGGAACACCGGUGGCGAAAGCGGCUCUCUGGUCUGUAACUGACGCUGAGGCUCGAAAGCGUGGGGAGCGAACAGGAUUAGAUACCCUGGUAGUCCACGCCGUAAACGAUGAGUGCUAGGUGUUGGAUCCUUUCCGGGAUUCAGUGCCGCAGCUAACGCAUUAAGCACUCCGCCUGGGGAGUACGACCGCAAGGUUGAAACUCAAAGGAAUUGACGGGGGCCCGCACAAGCGGUGGAGCAUGUGGUUUAAUUCGAAGCAACGCGAAGAACCUUACCAGGUCUUGACAUCCCGAUGCUAUUUCUAGAGAUAGAAAGUUACUUCGGUACAUCGGUGACAGGUGGUGCAUGGUUGUCGUCAGCUCGUGUCGUGAGAUGUUGGGUUAAGUCCCGCAACGAGCGCAACCCCUAUUGUUAGUUGCCAUCAUUCAGUUGGGCACUCUAGCGAGACUGCCGGUAAUAAACCGGAGGAAGGUGGGGAUGACGUCAAAUCAUCAUGCCCCUUAUGACCUGGGCUACACACGUGCUACAAUGGUUGGUACAACGAGUUGCGAGUCGGUGACGGCAAGCUAAUCUCUUAAAGCCAAUCUCAGUUCGGAUUGUAGGUUGCAACUCGCCUACAUGAAGUCGGAAUCGCUAGUAAUCGCGGAUCAGCACGCCGCGGUGAAUACGUUCCCGGGCCU